rnacentral:tRNA from 6 species
GCGGACGUGGUGGAAUUGGUAGACACGCCAGAUUUAGGUUCUGGUGCAGCAAUGUGUGAGAGUUCGAGUCUCUCCGUCCGCACCA